rnacentral:rRNA from 1 species
AUUGAACGCUGGCGGCAGGCCUAACACAUGCAAGUCGAGCGAGCGGCGGACGGGUGAGUAAUGUCUGGGAAACUGCCUGAUGGAGGGGGAUAACUACUGGAAACGGUAGCUAAUACCGCAUACCAUCAGAUGUGCCCAGAUGGGAUUAGCUAGUGGGUGGGGUAACGGCUCACCUGGGCGACGAUCACUAGCUGGUCUGAGAGGAUGACCAGCAACACGGGAAGGGAGACAGGGUCAAGACUCCUACGGGAGGAAGCAGUGGGGAAUAUUGCACAAUGGGCGCAAGCCGGAUGCAGCCAUGCCGCGUGGGUGAAGAAGGCCUUGGGGUUGUAAAGCACUUUCAGCGGGGAGGCGUUACCCGCAGAAGAAGCACCGGCUAACUCCGUGCCAGCAGCCGCGGUAAUAC